UGAACCCCAGGCCGCUGGAGCAUAACCUGCAAACUUAACCGCUGCACCACCAGGCCGGCCCCAAUUAUCGUUGUCAAUUUUGAUGUUGUUAGUGCUUUUCUCUAUGUAUAAUUUGUUUUCACAAAACUAUGCCCUUAGUGGCUAUUCCAAGUUUGUUAUUUGAUGGCUGGUAAAAUCAAAGCCUUGGUUCUCAGUCAUAAUCUAAAGAAAUGGAAACCAGAGAAACAUAAUUGGUUUGGGAUGAAGUCCAGGAUAAUAAUUGUCAGUCCUUCCAUAAGGCCAGAGACUGUAUUGCUGAUGGUGACAGGCCUCGAGUUGUCUAAACAGUCCUGAAUUUACAAGUGCCUGACGGUUUUAAAGUGGUUCCCAGCGCCCAACAGUAGCAAGCGUCAGUUUCCUCAGUUAACCUGCGCUGCGGGAGAAGAAAGAACUCUGUAGUGCAGAAGUAAGGGGGAGGAAACCAAGUGGAUUCUCUGGUCAUCGGGUUAGCGAAGGUGACCCAGGCACAGUUGUGUCCACCGUAAAAAGCACAGCGGCUGUGGCUUGGCCUCACUCCCUGGGCAACAGGAUUCUGAGCUGAAAGUGAACAGCCCUUGAAGAAGUGUCUUAUCAGAUGCCAAGCACCAGGGGUUUGGACUUUUCUAAACGGAAGCACCAUGGAAGAGGCUUAAAGCGCAGGUUUUGCAGCCAAAUUGACGGCAUUAGACGAGGUCCAUCACAUACUAGCUCUAUAUUGGACCAAUCACUGGCCCUCUCUUAUCUUUAGUUUCCCAGUAUACAAAAUGGAAAUAAUAUUUCUCCUGGGGCUGUUGUGAAAAAGGAUUAAAUGGCAUGGCAAUGCUGCUGUUAAGCACAAUGUCUGAUCAGUUAAAAGUCUUAUAAGGACUUGGUUAUUAUAAACUGCCCGACCUCGCCCCGCCACCGCCAUUGUGCCUACCGGACCCGCUUCCGGGAGCCCCUUCACCUCAGUCUCCCCCAGCCGAACGCGGAUCCCUCCGCGCUCGCGUCACUUCCGGGAGACUCUGGCCGCGGCUCCUCGAAAUACCCGGAUGAUGUACUGUAGGUUUUGUCAUCCAGUGAAACAGGAACAAAUGUAAGGCUAUUGGGUUCUUGGCACAGUACCAUAAGGACCUGGACAAAACAUUGUUAAGUUUGCUGGCUGUAACCCACUACGUCGAUUUUAUGAUCUGCUAAUGCUGAUUUAGAAGAUCGGAUUAGAAUUGAAGAUUCUUGUUUGAUCUGCUUCUCAGGGUCCCACAGGACCAAAGCACACAGAGAGAACAUGUCAUCUCCAUCUCCAGUCUCAAGUCCUCAUCAGCUCACCACCCCAAAUGGCAUCCCCUUUCCAGAAUGAGUUAACUGUCCAGCCAGAUGGAAAUAAAGGCAGAGAAGGAAUA